CUGCAGCCAGUUAAGCCAACCGUGCUGCCCUCCCCACGGUGCCCGGUGUGCAAUGGUUGCAAACAGCUGCCUCCUGGGUAGUGUGUGUGCCUGGUGCUUAUACAGGCUGCCCCAAAGGACCCUGGAAACAGCC
ensembl:snoRNA SNORA70 Small nucleolar RNA SNORA70